rnacentral:rRNA from 1 species
CGCGUAGGUGGUAGUGUAAGUCUGGGGUGGAAUCCCAGGGCUUAACCCUGGAACUGCCUUGGAAACUGCAUUACUUGAGUCAGUGAGGGGAGGGUAGAAUUCCUGGUGUAGCGGUGAAAUGCGUAGAUAUCAGGAGGAAGGCCUGUGGCGAAGGCGGCCCUCUGGCGCUGGACUGACACUGAGGCGCGAAAGCGUGGGGAGCAAACAGGAUUAGAUACCCUGGUAGUCCACGCCCUAAACGGUGGGCACUAGGUGUAGGGCUCGUAAGGGUUCUGUGCCGAAGGGAAACCAUUAAGUGCCCCGCCUGGGGAGUACGGCCGCGAAGGUUGAA